GGCUCGCUGCCGUAGUCUGGAGAAAGAAUCGCCAGGGUUGCGUUGCGGUGUGCCCCGGUUCGAGCCUCAGCGCUCGGCGCCGGCCGGAUUCCGCGGCUAACGUGGGCGUGGCUGCCCCGUCGUUUCCAAGACCCCUUAGCCAGCCGACUUCUCCAGUUACGGAGCGAGCCCCU
rnacentral:ncRNA from 1 species